rnacentral:lncRNA from 1 species
CACAUAGGAACAGUUUGGUUCUCGUUGUCAUUCGUUUUUCUGUAAAAGAAUGACACCAACAAACGUUAAAAUCACAUAGAUUUUAAUCUCCAAUAGAGUAGAAAACCACAAAGGUUUUAGUCUCCAGAACAGUGAGUAUAACACAAAUACAGAAAAUAGUUAAGUUCCUUUAGCUUGUUAAUAAACUGUAUUUGUAAAAUAAUUCUGGAGAAGAUAAAAUAACAUAUAAACAGAAAUGUAAAAGAAACCGAAUUUAAUCUGAGCCCACUGAAUUCACAAUAUUUUCUUAAGGAACUUAAUCCCCUCCUAGUACCUGAGAUUGUGGAUUAUUUCCUCCCAGGAUAGAAUGACUUAUACACUGAUGUAGCGGUACUUCAAACCCCAGUGUUUCAGCGAACACAAUUAUCGGUAACAAAUCACACUUACUGUUGCUUUCUUUGUAGUUAAACAAAUGCAGAAGAAAGGAGGAGAAUUCAGAAUUCCGUAUGGAAAAUCUGAGAGAAUGGACUGCUAUUUAUAGCCCCAACUUGUUGAGUUCAAACGAAUAGGGUCAGUUAUGUAAAACGGCCAUAACAUAAAUGGCCGUUUACGCAAAUUAAAACGGGAAUUCAAACGCAGAGGAAAUUACUUUUUCGUUACGAAAAACAAACGGGCAGAAAAAUUACUUUUCCGUUAUUAAAACGGACAGGCAGAAGAGAUAAUUUGGAUUCAAUAUUAAUUUUCUGUUACAAAAAUGGAUAUUUAAUAAUAUUAUGUUAAUAUUUACUAUUAACAAAUAAAUUUGGUCCAAACAAUCAAUCAAUCGAUCGAUCAUUUGACCAAAUCUAAAUCCAAAUUCAAAACCGAAUCCAAAGCAGAAGCCGAGCCGAGCGAGUGACGACGGCGACAACGCAAGGCUUGCCUUCUUCUUAACUCUUUAAGAGCUAAAAGAAGAGAAAUUAUAUAUAUAUAUCCAUCAAAAGUCUUUUUCUCCUCCAAUAUGGGACAAUGUCCCUUUGUCAUGGAGGGAAACUCAAAUAUUUCAUUUUCUCUCUAUUUCCUAUUCACCCUCUUUUAAGCUAAAAUAGCUUUAAAAACCUAAUACAACGAAGGAGAGUAAUAUUAUAAAAUUGAAGCAGAAUAUUAUUUUCUGUGUAUAGAAUGUUACGUGUCCUACAAAUGAUGUUGAUUCUCCUAUUUAUAGCUAUAUUUUGGGAGAUAAGAUCCCCAAAUCAAACUCCUCUUGAAUGAGAAUAAAACCGUCAUUGAUGGUUACAUUAAGGUUGACUAUAAAUGCAGAUAUUCUCAGUAACAACUGCUCGUUGAAUGCUAUCCGAUAUCAAAUCUUUGAAUCUUUGUUGUCGGCUACUCUGCCUUCGGGAUUCAUCAAGCACCUGUCAUAUAUUUGUAUAUGGUGCUUGCUAUUUGCUAACUCACGCACCACAUGUCAUUAGUUCCAUGUGUCACUGUAACGACCCGGCCAGUCGUUUUGAGAAUUUAAGCUCUGUUCAGCAGCGUAAGGUCUUGAACAACUUCAUAUUAUGUGUAUCGACUCAAGUACAUGGUUGAAUUCAGUUAUCGGGGGAUUUGGAGUCGAAUUGGAAGAAGGAUUCUAGUUUUGGAAGCUUAAGCGAUGAGAAUUUGACCGGAAUUGGACUUUUAAGUAAACAGCUUCGGAAUGGAUUUUUGAUGAUUCCAAUAGCUCCGUAUGGUGAUUUUGGACUUAGAGUAUGCCCGGAAAAUUAUUUGGAAGUUUGUAGUUUAAUUAGGCUUGAAAUGGCGAAAAUUAGAAGUCGAGGUUUGGAAGUUUGACCAAGGGGUUGACUUUUUGAUAUCGAGAUCAAAAUCUGACUCAAGGAGUUGGAAUAGUUCCAUUAUGUUAUUUAUGACUUGUGUGCAAAAUCUGGGGUCAAUCGGACUUGAUUUGAUAGGUUUCGACGUUGUGUGUGGAAUUUGAAAGUUUCUAAGUCCUUAGGCUUGAACCCGAGGUGGUUUUUGUGUUUUUGGCAUUGUUUUGAGUAAUUCGAAGGAUCGAAUAAAUUUUUAUGAUGUUAUGGGAUGUGUUGGUACAUUUAGUUGAGGUCCCGGGGUCCUCGGGUGUGUUUCGGGUGAGUUUUGAGCGAGUCCGUACAUUCUAGAACUUAGGAAAUGGUUCUGAUGCUUAAAUCUUCACUGGGGGUGAAGGAAUUUCUGCUGGGGCGGUGAUCUUACCGCUGAGGCGGAAGUUUUUCCGCGGUCCGCGGUGAUGAAGAAUCUGCAGGUUCACUGGUCCGAUUUCAGAAGCCUAUAUCUUUUGAUUUACACGGAAUUUUGAGAUGUUUCAAAAAUAAAAGUUGUAGCGCUUCGUGUCUAGUUUUCAGAAAGCCAAAGAAAUCACAAUUUGGACAUAUGUAGAGAAAGUUAUGGCCAAAAUUUAGCCUGUCACUACAGUCAACAUUUUUCGCUGCAGCGGUGGAUUUACCGCGGUCAGCAGAGAUUUUCCGCGGUCAGCGGUGAGGGAAUCCGGAAGGUGCGCUAUAAAUACGAGAUUUGGGAUUUUAUUUCAUAUUUUGACUUAGAGAGCUCGGAUCUUGGCAAUUUUUCGAAGGUUUUUCAAGAAAUUCAUAUGGGGUAAGUGAUUUUAACUCGAAUUUGGCUAAAAUACAUAAGUCUAUCAUUGAAUUCAUCAUUUGAUUCGUGAUUUAGGAUGGAAUUGGGAAAAAUUUGUGAAGUCUUUCAAAAAUGUAAAAUGAUGAUUUGAAUGACCAAAUGGUAUCGAAAUUUAAUAAUUUUUGUAUGGGUGAAGUAUCGAAAUGGGUGUUCAGUUUUUGUAAAUUUUGUCAGGUUCCGAGGUGUGGGUCCGGGGAGUUGACUUUUGUUGACUUUUUGCAAAUUAUAUAAGAAUCACAACUUUGUUAAUUGAAAUUGUUUUCUCUUGCAUUGUUUGAGGUAUGCAAGUCGUUUUUUUCUAGAUUGAGCCGAGCGUUGAUGUAUUGGUAAAGGAUAGGCUAAAUUGAGUAUUGAAUUGGCCGGAUUGAGGUAAAUAUCUUGCCUAACCUCGUGUGGGGAACUUCCCCUUAGGAUUUGAGUCUUCUACGUUGAUUGUAAUCUGUGUACGCGAGGUGACGAGUGCGUGUUCGGACUUAUUUGUGGAAAAUUGGCCUUUUAGAGUUCUUAGGUCCUUGUACUCACUGAGUAUGAAGUUGUUCUUGAUAUGAUUGGAAUUAAUUGCUUUAUGAUUCAUUCUUAUUGCCUAUUUGACUCUUCUUUUGCUUAAUUGAAGAUUUUUACCUCUUCUAUUGUCAUGCUAUCUUUCAUAACUGAUUGUCUUUAUUGGAAACCAUUAUUAUCUCUUCUGUAAUUGUUUAGUCUUAAUUGAGGUUAUGAUUAACUUCAUGCUGCUCAUACUUAAUUGAAAUUGUUAUAUAUUCUUCGUAAUUUGCCCAACCUUAAAAGAAGUUAAGGUAUCCUAUAUUUAGUUGGCAUUUCCUUGUUUGGAAUUAUUUAAUUCGUGUUAGCUUCCUUGUUGUUGAACUACAUAUUGUGGGAUCGUUGCUUCACAUUAUUUUCUCCCAUGUUGAGUUGUUCUUAUUAUGCUUAGUAUUCUCUAUUGUGGUUAUUCCUAGUGAGCUAGUUUUAUUGUCUCCUUGUGAUCGAAAGUUCUCGAGUUGAUUUACUUGUCGUGUUCUUGUAUAUAUUGUCAUUGUUGUUGCGGUACUUGUUGUGGUGGUGCACGAGGUUUCUGCCGUGUGGUUGUUGAUAUUGUGAUGCACGAGGUUUCUGCCAUGCGGUUAUUGUUACGGAGUUGCACGAGGUUUCUGUCGUGCUAUUGCAAUUAUUAACAUAUUACACAUGCGGCGUGGCAAGGGGGGAUAUAUAUGUUGCGCAUGUGGUAAGACAAGGUGGGAAUAUUAUGAUGCACAUGUGGCAAAACAAGGCACACACUUAUUAUGUUAUUAUUUGCACACGUGGCGAGACAAGGUGGGUUAUGUCAGGGAUUGAUUGUGAUGAUUUGUGAUGGCAUGGGGGCAUUGUUGCUGUUUGAUAUUGUGUUAUGGUACGCUUACCUGUAUGAGUUUUAUCUCGUGGAAGUUGUGAGAAAAUAUCUUACGUGUCGUCCGUUCUUUUCCUUAUGCUUAUUAGCUAGUAGGAACUAUGUUAAAGCACUUGCACAAGCAUACACGUAGUUGAACACUCCCAUUGGAUAUGAAGUUCUCCUGAUAUUGUUGAGUAUAGAUGUACACCCUCGUCUACUUGUCAUAUAUGUGAGAGUAGCUCUAGUUAGUAAGUGAGUUAUCAGUGUGACCAUGAGUUGUGAUGGGGGCAUAGGAUGCCAAGUGUUAGGGUUCAGUUAUUGGGACCCGUGAGCUAUAAGUUGUUCGAGGUUUGGUAUUUUGUGGAGUCUGUUGGCUAAGACUUGAUGUGAACACUGUCGUAGGUUCUGAGUUAUUGCUUACCUUUACUAUAUUUGUUAUUAAGGUUUUGAGUUUGUGAUUUCGCUCGCUCUUCUAUGUCAUUAUUAUGGUAUUUCCGAUGUUACUUGCUGUUUUCUUCCCUUACUGUGAUUGUUGUAUUGUUAGCCAUAGUGUGUAGUCUUUAUAUGUGUACAUCAUGUUCCGUUGUUCCUAUACUUAUAUUUGUACAGUUUAUUAGACCAGUAGGUGUCUUGACUGUUCCUUGUCACUACUCCACCGAGGUUUGUCUUGAUACUUACUAGGCACCACUAUGGUGUGCUCAUGCUACUCUUCUACACAUUUUUGUUGUGCAGAUCCAGGUGUCGAUCGUUAGUAGCUAUGGGGAUCAUUGCUAAGGGGACUCAAGGUAAACCUGUUGCUGCAUUCGCAGGUUUCGGAGUCACAUUCUCACUUGUAUUCAACUGUUUUCACUCUUUUCCAAACAGUUUAUAUAGAAGUGGUAGCUAACUCUGUAGAGCUUAUGACUUGUACUACCGGGUUUUGGGAAUAUGCUCAUUGUAUAAAGGAUUUAUUCCAGAAAAAAUUUAAGAUGUUAUUUAUUAUUGUUGUUCUUCCGUAAAUAUUAGGCUUACCUAGUCCUUAAGACUAGGUGCCGCCACGAAACCAAACGGAGGGGAAAUUGGGUCGUGACAGUCAUUCGUACAACUGUCACUAAAUAAUUUUACCUCAUACAACUAGUCCCCCUACUUUCCGAUAAGAUAACUUAGUGUCAUCAGAAAGUAGAUAAAAAUUCUUUUCUUGGCGGAAUAGUUUCUGAAUGCUCACUGACACUUGAAAGGAUACAUAUAUACUCGCAUUUAAUGACCCCAACACGUGUUGUUCUGUGUUUCAACAAAUAUUAUUCGCCAGGUUUAGAGGUAAUCAUGACCACGAUUUUCACCGUCUAUAACUUCUCCACUACUUAUCAUCUUUACUUUUUACUUUCACAACUCCUUCUUCUUCUUUGAAUCCCUUUAGAACCUUUCUACAACAUUCUACUUUCUUGGUAAAAUUUUUCUUCACAAACAUGUCUUCAAACACUGUUAUUCUCGAAAACUCUGGCUUUUUUUUUUCAUAUGUGGCCUAAAGAAAACCAAAAUAAAGGAGUUGAAGUUGAGUCUGAACCUCCUACCGUGAACUCCAUCAUAGCUCUUAAACUUAGUAGGAAAUCUGACCUUCAACAACAAAAAGAACCUACAAAUCCCAAAAGUUACGGAUCCUGGCAUGUUCGCAAGUGUCCUUCAUCCAUCCUUCCUCCUAGCAUUCCUGCCAUGAAGGAGGACUGUAACUGACAUUGAAAUCCUCACCUCUAGCGAGGUAGAAAGGGUCACUUUCUCCAAACCAGGGUUCAUGUAUGUUUGUACAUACCUUUUCACUUUGAGAGUGGGUGAGGGAAUCGGCCCUAUAAUCGUAGAGUUAUGCCACCGGUACCAAAUAUGUUUGGCACAAGUAGGCUCUUCCAUAUGGCAUAUGAUGUCUUGCCUCCGCCAAUUAUGUUCUUAGACGUAGGAAACCCUCACGCUCGCAUAUAUAAUGAACCUCUAUUCCCCAAAGAUUUUCCGUAGGGGUGAGCUAAAACUUAAAUAAUGCGAUCAUCAUUUCCUUUUUACCAGCGUUGACGAUGACAUCCUCCCAGCCGCAACAACUGCUCUUCCCGAAUCAUGGAAUAUUUUCUGUAAGUCUUCGAAUAUCUUUUUACUUUUAUGUUCAGAAAGACCUUCCUUCUCUAUUAACUUUUCAUUUUCCUUAGUCCCGCUACUCAUCGGAAGCCAUAACGGGUUCAAGGUCUGGCCCAAUGGGCAAAAACAAAUUCUGGAUAUUCCUACACCAGAAUCCCGGAGGUGGAAAAAAAUGGCUCCCAAAUAUGAAUGGAAAGUCAAAAAUUAUGGUAACAAAGAUUCUUCCUUCCUUCCCUCUAUCUUACCAAAUAACAUAGAAACAAUUUACUAAUCGCCUUUUCUGUACCACACAGGACUUCCGAAGGGAUUCGUGGUUUGCCCAAAUAACGAGGCUCUCGAUGACUUAGAGAAAGCUCAACGGGUGUUUCAAAAAGCCUUUAACCAGAGGAGAACUCGUGAAUCCAUCCUAUCUUUCAGUGAAGGUGCCUCCUCUCGGAGUCCCCAACCCAAGGAUAAAAAACUAAAGAGAAAACAUAUAUUUUCGACGGGGAUUCUGGAGAAAGAAAUUGAAAAAAACAUCACCGAAACCAACAACAGUGAUACUUGAUGACAUAGGCGAUGAUAAAGAGCCUUCCCUUCAAAGAUGAAAAAGAUCUUCAUCAGCUCAACGUGAUUCUCAGCCAGGAGAGCUUCAAACUCCUCCACUAGAUGAAGUUCACUCUAGGGGAAAUGGAAAUAGUGAAAAAUGCUUCAUCUCUUUUUUGAAUCCCUAGGGUUGCUUCUAACCAAAGGAGUUCAACCCUUGAACAUCCUUUGCCAUUUAGUUCUCAACAUGUCGGCGCCGCAUCUCCUUCUCCACUAUCUACUAUCUCUCCACCGGCUCCAACUGAACAAAUAAUAAAUGUUCCCUCUCUACGGUCAUCCGAUCAUGGGAAUAUAGGAAACACCUUCCCGUCACCCACUCAAAACCUUAGUGGCAAAUGAAGUGUUACCCUCACGGGUUCAAAUGAAUUCCAUGUAUGUUCCAAGCCGGUGAAGCUUUCCAAUUAUUUGAAGCCAUUAGCCUAAGAAAAAAAUUGGAGAAAGAUGGAUUCUCUCUCCGUUGAAUGUCUGUUAAACAACAACAUGCACUACACGGCACAAGUAUUAAUAAAACCAUUUCCUAUCAAUCUUUAUUUAUCAUAUUUUGAAUUAAUAACCUUAGCUUAACCUCUUCAGACCAACCUUCUUGCUUCCGAAGGCCUGCAAAAGUUGAUCUUGGUUAAACAAGUACUUACUUCAGAAUGAGAUUAACUUUUUGCUGAACAGAAGCAAAAAUUACAUUGAUGGAUGAACUUAAUGCUCAGUUGAACUAAUACGAGCAUGAUAGAAUAGCCCACAGGCAAAAGGCCGCUUAAUUGCAUGAAGACCUCAAUGAUGCAAAGGCUAAGUGGGUUGAACUCCAUAAUACUGUGACCACUAUUGCUGAGCGUGAGUCUGCCUUCAUGGAACAAGCUAAUAACCUGGAGGCUGGCUUACACUGCAAAACUGAGGAGUCCAUAGCUACAGAGGACCAAAGAGCAAGUAUUGAGGAAAUGCUCAAAGAAGACAUAGAGCAGAAUCAAAUUCAUGCCGCAACUAAUGUUUAUCUUGAUUCCAGGAUCAACAUUGUUAAAGCUGAAAACUAAAAGCUUCAAGCGAAGAUUGAAAAUCUCUGAGCCAAACUCCAAGAUCAGGGUAUUGUCUCCUAUUCUAGAAGACUUACGCCAUAUACCUACGAAGAGGAAAGCUUUGGAGGAGGCCAAAGAAGGCAUUGCACACAUUAACGAAUGCAUUGCCAAGGCCCGGGAACUGGAGACAACUACCCAUGAAAACCUUCUUGCUCGGCCCGUUGUUUCUAAUUCUUCAAAUAUUAACUCCGUGUAUUCGGGAACCGAAGGAGAAACCGAAGAAGAUGAAGGUUUUGAACCGGAAGAGAAACAAUCUUCUCCCAAUAGAGAAAACGAAGACUCUUCUCUCCCAUCAGGUUCUGACAGCAAGAACUGAUGUAUAUAUUUUUCUUUACUUUUUGUAAUUAUGCCAACACUUUUACUAAGUUUGGCAUUUUAAUCAAUGAAAGAAACUUUUUGCUUAAGUAUUGUGCAAAAAAUAUUCUUUUUCAUUUAACUGACAGAGCUUCGUGAAUCUUUUCUCAUUCGAUAGCUUUUGAUUUCAAGUAUAAACACUUCCAGCACCUACCAUUUACUAUGAGAGUUUCAUAAGAUAAGACCCUUAUGUUUACGGUACUCUUGAAGAAGACGUCUCAUAUUCAUUCUGGUACAAGCACUUCAGUUUUUGUUAACUUUCAAACGAUAAAACAAAUCAACUUAUCAUUCAGACAAGAAAUAAGAUAAAAAUAAAAGGACUUUGUUUUAUUCCUUCUAUAUUAAAAAGUACAUUUACAUAAACAUUAUUUUGCUUAAGUAUAUAAAACAGCCAAUACAUAUGGCUAACUUGUAUAACUUAUUUUUACGGGACUGAUCAUGCAGUCUUCGGUUCUAAUAUGAUAGUGAUCCCGAUUCUUACAAUCCCCGAUCUUCGUAAAAUUUUUAGUGCCUUGUCAUGUAUUAAUCCCCUCCCUAGUGUUCGAAUUUCUAAGUAUGAGAAUUUGAACACUGGAAGUCUUGUAUUCAUCGAUGACUUUGUCUUUGUAGUAGGCUUUACAUUGUUGUCUCAUUAAUGGAAACAACUUGUGGAUGAGUAAAUAAUCUGUUUCCACGUGCCAAUGGAAAUAAUGAAAGUUUAGGGAGAUGAGAUACGCGAACGAGCCAAAGAUUAUUUAACCCUUCAUAAGCUGAUUACCACAUGAGUUAAUCUAUACAGAACCAUUUAUGCUCAUGCUAAAGUGAAGGCAAUAGAGCUUUUGGUUGUUGAUUCACUAGCGAAGACAUCUGUGCUGAUGAUCCUUGCUUUGUAGUUUGCUUUACAUUGUUGCCUCAUUAAAAAAUUUGCUAGAAAAACAUAGUUGGGACAAAAGCUAGUCGAAGGGAAAUAACAGUGCAGCAUAUACUUUCAGUACCAGCAAGGAUCUUCAGCAGUAAUACCUUUUGAGGUGAUACACGUUCCAAUUACUUGGCAAUUUAACUCUAUGUUGAUCUUCCAAUUCAUACAAACCUUUACCGGUUAUAGCUGAAACUCGGUAAGGUGCUUCCCAUGUUGGUCCCAGCUUCCUGACAUUAGGUUUCCGAGUAUUUUGAGUUACCGUUCUCAAAAUCAAAUCCCCAACUUUGAAAUAUCGAAGAUUUGCCCUCUGAUUGUAAUACCUUUUCAUCCUUUGCCUAUGUGCCACCAUCUUCACAUAAGCCAGAUUCCGGUGCUCUUCAAGCAAAUAUAGUUCAACCAGCAACGCUUUAUUGUUUGUUUCUUCGUUCGCUCGGAAAAACCUUAAGGUCGAUUCCCCCAUUUCCACUAGUAUCAUACCCUCUGAACCAUAUACAAGUGAAAUGUGUUUCACCCCUGUCGAACUUCGCCAUGGUAAGGUAUGUCCAUAACACACCCGAUAGCUCAUCUAGCCACUGGCCUUUAACAUCUUCUAAUUGCUUUUUAAGGUUUUGAAUAAUUACCUUGUUGGUCAACUCCACCUGUCCAUUAGCACUCGGGUGGUAUGGUGAAGACGUAAUUCAUUUGAUCUUCAAUCCUUCCAAAACCUUUCUGACAAGCAAUUUCUUCCGAAUCGGCAGAAGAUAUGAUUCCAUAUGAAGUCGAUUACUUCUCGUUCUCCGGUAUUUUGGUAAGCACCUGCUUCAAUCCAUUUAGUAAAAUAAUCAGCUAAAACUAAAAGAAAUGUUACCUAACCGGGUCCUUGUGGUAAGGGACUAACUAUGUUCAUCUCCCAUUUCAUGAAUGGCCACGGUGACACCCCUGAAUGCAAGAGUUCCUCCGGUUGAUGCACUAACUGUGCAUGACAUUGAUAUUUAUCGUACUUUUGUACAAAUGUCUUUGCUUCCUGCUCCAUCUGGGGCCAAUAGUAGCCAGCUCUGACUAACUUGAGAACCAACAAGUGUGUACCAGAGUGGUUCCCACAUACUCCUUCAUGAACUUCCCUCAUCACGUAGUCAGCUAAUGGUCCUUGGAAUGACCUCCUAUAUAACUGUCCGUCAACAAGAUAAUAACGAGUUGCCUUGGUCCAUAGUGCUCAGGAUGCUUUUUGGGUCUUCAGGAAAUUUUUCAUUCCUUAGAUAUUCAAUAAACUCGCUCCUCCAAUCCCAGAUCAAGUUAGCUGAAUUAACUUCACAAUAGCCAUGCACAUCCAACACCGAAUGCAGUAAUUGAAAUACCGCACCGGAAUAAGAUCUUUUCAUUUUUGUGGACGAACCUAAAUUGGCUAGUAUGUCUACCUCCAUAUUUUUCUCCUUUGGAAUAUGGAUGAUCGGCCACUCUUUGUCCAGGAAAGUAAUACUUGAAGUUUACUCAAGUAUUGGUGCAUGCGCUCCUCCUUGGCGUCGGAAAUUUUGUGUAUUUGGUUCACCACAACUGGGAGUCGCACUUUACUUCGAUGACCUCGGAACUAGUCCCAGGCAAGUUCGAGUCCUUCAACUGCUCUUCUUUUUCAAAAGUGAAAAUAAGUGAUGUUACUUUUCAGAAGACCUCGAGAUAAACCUUCUUGGAGCCGCUAAUCUACCGGUCAACCACUGUACUUCAUUCACACUUGUCAGUUGGUCCGGGAUAUCUUUGAUGGAUUUGAUCUUAUCGAGGUUAACUUCAAUUCUUCUUUGAGAGACCAAAAAACCCAAGAACUUUCCGGAUCCCACUUCGAAGGCACACUUCUCCGGGUUGAGCUUCAUGCUCUACUUUCUGAAAAUGUCAAACGUCUCUUGGAGAUGUUUCAGAUGAUCUCAUACAUCAAGAGACUUGACUAACAUGUCAUCAAUAUAAACUUCCAUUGUCUUACCUAUCUGUUUUUCAAACAUCUUAUUAACAAGCCUUUGAUAAGGGGCUUCAGGUUUAAGCCUAAAAGGCAUCAUAUUAUAGCAAUAUGUGCCAAAGUUUAUGACGAAAGAAGUCUUUUCCUGAUCUUCCGGUUCCAUCCUAAUUUGAUUGUACCCUGAGUAAGUAUCAAGAAAACUCAUUAACUCAUGACCGGCCAUAGUAUCAAUCAUAUGAUCAAUGUUUGUCAACAGAAAAGAGUCUUUAGGGCAAUGCCUUGUUCAUAUCUUUAAAAUCUACACACAUUCUAAAUCUAUUUUUUCUUUUUAGGUACUACCAUUAUAUUACCUAGACAAUCGGAGUAAUUUACCUCCCGAAUCGAACUUAUGUUAAAUAGCGAGGUUACCUCUUCCUUAACAAAUCUGUUUCCGACCUCGACUAUCAGUCGUUUUUUCUACCUUAUCAGAGGAAUGUUAGGAUCCAGAUUCAGUUUGUGGGCUGCCACCUCCAAUGGAGUAUUUGUCAUACUUGAAUGCAAUCAUGCAAAACAAUCAACACUAGACUUAAGAAAAUUCAUAAAUUUUAACCUGAGUUCGGGAAUCAACCCCGUUCCUAAAUGAUAUUUCCUUUCCAAAAAUUCUUCGAACAAGGCCGCUUGUUCGAGAUCUUCUGCGGUUGACUUAGUCCCAUCUGUCUCCUCCAGUACCUGAAAAGACCUUGGUACCUGUUAUAAUUCUGAUAACUCCUCGUCCUUAUCAUCUUCAAUUGAGUUGGAAAAGGGCACUGAUUCCUGUAAUUUCUAUUUGCUUGUUUCUUUGCCCUUGCUGCUGGAAACGGUUACUACGUUCAUCUCCCUUGUAGUCGGUUGAUCUCCUCUGAUCUGCUUAAUUCCUUCUAGUAUUGGAAAUUUUAAGAGUUGAUGGUAGGUUGUGGGCAUGACCUUCAUCUCAUGUAUCCAUGGCGUUCCAAAGAUUACAUUAUAGCCCAUGUUGCCAAUUACCACUUCGAACAAAGCGGUCUUCGUUACUCCUUCGACAUGUGUGGGUAGCAAAAUUUCUCCUCGGGAACAUCUAUUGAUAAGUUGCUCCAAAACUCUCCAUUAUAUGAUGUUGCCUGAGCUUCCUAGAUCCACCACCACACGUUUAAUUUUAAAAUCUAAAAUAUUAAGAGAAAUUACCAAAGCAUCGUUAUACGAUAGAAGAAGUCCAUCAACAUCUUCUUCUUUGAAGGUGAUGUCAUCUUUUGAGAUCUCUUGGAUCCUCUUGCUAUGAGUUACUGAUAUCUUCGUUUUCUUUGCUGCUGAAAACGUCACCCCAUUUAUCUCGUCUCCUUCGAAGAUCAUGUUGAUUGUCAUUCGAGGUAACCCUGCUACCGGCUUUAAUGAUUCUGCAUUAUCCCGGUUUCUCCCAUGGUUGUUCUUGGUGCAAUCGCUGAAAAACUCUCUGAGGUGACCAUUCUUCAACAACUUUGCCACCUCUUCACGAAAAUGUUGGCAGUCCCCAGUCCUAUGGUCGUGAGUCCCAUAGAAUUCACACCAUAGAUUUGGGUCUCUUUUGUUAGGAUCAAUCGGAUUGGUUUCGGCAACCUAGCUUCUUUAAUAUUUCUCAUUGCUGACACCAAUUCUACUGGGCAGAUAUUAAGGUUGUAAUCGGAUAACUGGGAUACGUUGAAUCUCGGGACCCCGUCAACUCUUUCUCUUCUAAUGAUCUGCUACUUCGUCCACGAACCUAUCCGAUGACUGGAAUCCUUUAUUACCGCGCCUAUCGGCCCUCUCGUAAGACUGAAAACGGCUUCUAGAGGGUCUCCGAUCUGCAUCAACAUCAUUUUUCAAUUUAUCUUGAUUCCUAUCAUGAUUUCGUCCUUUGGAAGACACCGAGGAACCAAUUUGAUCAUCUUCUAUUCUUAUUUCCGACUCGUAGCGAUUGUGAACAUCUGCCCGUGUGGUUGCCUGAAAAUCGAGCAAGCUUUUUUUCAACUUCUGGGAGGCAUCAAAGCUCAACGGGUUGAGGCCCUUUGUAAAUGGCUCCUGUCACACCUCCUUUUUCCCGAAGGGGAGAUAGGGUUUUUUCCAAUUAAAGUGACAUUAAUCGAAAUGAGAUUAUUUAUUUAUUUCAGAGUCACCACUUGGAAUAUAUCUAGUGUCCCAAGCCACCAAUUUAUUUUAAAUCCCAAAUCGAGGAAAUUGACUUUUAUUUAUUGUCCGCGAACACAGAAGACCGGGUAAAGAAUUCUGUUAACCCGAGAAAAGGUGUUAGGCACUGCCGAGUUCCAUUGUUUUAGCACGAUCGCUCAACUAUUAAUAAUUGACCUAAUUAUCUGAUUGAUUACAUAUUUAAAUCUAUUGUGCAUUUUUACCUUUUUGACCGCUUUUAAUAUUUAUGGAAUUUGUUUGAACAAGUCGCGAUAUAGCGCACUCUUUGUUUUUGUACAUAUUGCGAAUCGCCUCACUUUAAAUACACCCGCAAUUUACAACAUGUUUAUUUUAAUAUUAUUCGAAGUGGUCGGGUCUCAUGAAAUGCACACCCAAAUUGAGAUUUUUAUGUCGUGACCAUGCCACGAGAACCGUACCUAUAGUCACGAUGAUUUUAUUAAUCGCGCCUAAAACAAGCUACGGUAUUCAUGAGUUAUUUUCCUAAACUACUUCAAGAUUAUUGUGAAAACCCGAAGUUAUGGAAAUCAGUAGAUAAUUAGUACGUACUAAAAUCGUGUGGACUUUACAAAGUUUGAACCAUUAACAAAGAUGCUGUUGAAACACAUGAAUAAGGAGAACUUAGUUGAACGGAAAACUCCAAACAUGAAUUACAAGUUUUAGUUUAAUAAAAUCUAACUCAGUUCUUGGUCACAUUAAAUCCUACCCAAAAGAGCAAUCCUGCCGAUUUCGUAUAUUAUUGUAUAUUAUUGGAUUUGCAUCCCAGCCUUAACUAAUUAAAUAACCCACCUAGUGAUUUACACACACAACUCACAGAAAACAAAUUUUAUAGAACUGAUUUGCUGGGCUCAGGAUUCUUAAAAUGUCAAAGACCAGUGGUUUAUAUUCAUCUAGUCCAAAACAAAUUAAGCCAUAAAGCUUACAUGUGAUAUAAUUAAACUAUCAUAAUAGUAACACUGCUUCAAAGAAUUCAAACCCCGAUAUCAUAAGUUCAACAUUUGAAACAAUUGGCUUUUCAAACACACGUGGAACAGUAAAUACCAAAGAGAAGACCAGUAAACAAAUUUAACAGCUAAACAUGCUGGCUCCGUAAAUUCAAAACAAACAUGUAACACGAAUAAAUUCAACUUUCAAUUAUGAAUUCGACAAAAGGGUCAUAUAUGAGUAUGGCGUACCUCAAACCAGAAAUCGACAGAAAAAUGACCAAAUAAGGUCUAAAAUAGAAUGGAAAAUCUAGCAACAGAAACAACACGUCAACAAUGAAAACACGGUGAGAUCAACUUCAAAGCGAGCACGCAUACGCAGAUCCGGAUCUGAAACACUUCAGAUCUCAAUUGAGUGACGCGAAGAGGAAGCUUAGAAGCUAAUGUCGAAAUGGAACUUCGGAGAGCGAAACCGACGAGAGAAUGAAACUAUGAAAGUGUCUGUCUGUGUGUGUAUGUGUGUGCGCUUUCGGUCCCUUUGCUAAAAAUGAGGUGAGAGGGAGCAGCUGCUCGGAUGGAAUGGAGAAGAAGGGGUCAGUGGCUAGGUUUUUUUCGAAGGGGAGGGUUGCGCCGUUUUUCAUUUUUUCGAGAGGGGAGGUUCUCUCCUCUUCAUUUGAUUAGGUCUGAUGUGU